rnacentral:rRNA from 1 species
AGCUCCAAUAGCGUAUAUUAAAGUUGUUGCAGUUAAAAAGCUCGUAGUUGGAUCUGAGGAUUAGAACCACUGGUUGGCUUCAGGGCUACACUUGUGGUUCAGCCUGCAUAGUCGGUGAUAUUUUUGGUUCUCUUAAUUGAGUGCUUUAAAUGCCCGGCCACGUUUACUUUGAAAAAAUUGGAGUGCUCAAAUCAGGCCCACUGCCUGAACAGAUGUGCAUGGAAUAAUGGAAAAGGACUUCGGUUCUAUUUUGUUGGUUUUCGGAACAUGAAGUAAUGAUUAAGAGGGACAGACGGGGGCAUUCGUAUUGCGGUGGGAGAGGUGAAAUUCUUGGAUCAUCGCAAGACGCCCUACAGCGAAAGCAUUUGCCAAGAAUGUUUCCA